GAUGAACGCUGGCGGCGUGCCUAAUACAUGCAAGUCGAGCGAACAGACGAGGAGCUUGCUCCUCUGACGUUAGCGGCGGACGGGUGAGUAACACGUGGAUAACCUACCUAUAAGACUGGGAUAACUUCGGGAAACCGGAGCUAAUACCGGAUAAUAUAUUGUACCGCAUGGUUCAAUAGUGAAAGACGGUUUUGCUGUCACUUAUAGAUGGAUCCGCGCCGCAUUAGCUAGUUGGUAAGGUAACGGCUUACCAAGGCGACGAUGCGUAGCCGACCUGAGAGGGUGAUCGGCCACACUGGAACUGAGACACGGUCCAGACUCCUACGGGAGGCAGCAGUAGGGAAUAUUCCGCAAUGGGCGAAAGCCUGACGCAGCAACGCCGCGUGAGUGAUGAAGGCCUUCGGAUCGUAAAACUCUUUUAUUGGGGAAGAAAAAAUGUGUAAGUAACUAUGCACGUCUUGACGGUACCUAAUCAGAAAGCCACGGCUAACUACGUG
rnacentral:rRNA from 1 species